UACGUAGGGUGCAAGCGUUAAUCGGAAUUACUGGGCGUAAAGCGUGCGCAGGCGGUUUUGUAAGUUUGUCGUGAAAUCCCCGGGCUCAACCUGGGAAUGGCGAUGAAGACUGCAAGGCUAGAAUCUGGCAGAGGGGGGUAGAAUUCCACGUGUAGCAGUGAAAUGCGUAGAGAUGUGGAGGAACACCGAUGGCGAAGGCAGCCCCCUGGGGUCAAGAUUGACGCUCAUGCACGAA
rnacentral:rRNA from 1 species